rnacentral:rRNA from 1 species
UACGUAGGGACCAAGCGUUGUUCGGAUUUACUGGGCGUAAAGGGCGCGUAGGCGGCGUGUUAAGUCACUUGUGAAAUCUCUGAGCUUAACUCAGAACGGUCAAGUGAUACUGAUGUGCUAGAGUGCAGAAGGGGCAACCGGAAUUCUUGGUGUAGCGGUGAAAUGCGUAGAUAUCAAGGGGAACACCUGAGGUGAAGACGGGUUGCUGGGCUGACACUGACGCUGAGGCGCGAAAGCUAGGGUAGCAAACGGG